rnacentral:rRNA from 1 species
UACGUAGGGUGCGAGCGUUGUCCGGAAUUAUUGGGCGUAAAGAGCUCGUAGGCGGUGUGUCACGUCGGCCGUGAAAACCUGGGGCUUAACUCUGGGCGUGCGGUCGAUACGGGCAUCGCUAGAGUUCGGCAGGGGAGACUGGAAUUCCUGGUGUAGCGGUGAAAUGCCCAGAUAUCAGGAGGAACACCGGUGGCGAAGGCGGGUCUCUGGGCCGAUACUGACGCUGAGGAGCGAAAGCAUGGGUAGCGAACAGG